rnacentral:rRNA from 1 species
UACAGAGGGGGCAAGCGUUGUUCGGAAUUACUGGGCGUAAAGGGCGCGUAGGCGGCCUGUUAAGUCGAACGUGAAAUCCCCGGGCUCAACCCGGGAACUGCGUCCGAUACUGGCAGGCUUGAAUCCGGGAGAGGGAUGCGGAAUUCCUGGUGUAGCGGUGGAAUGCGCAGAUAUCAGGAGGAACACCGAUGGCGAAGGCAGGUCUCUGGGCCACUACUGACGCUGAGAAGCGAAAGCAUGGGGAGCGAACAGG